rnacentral:rRNA from 1 species
GAUGAGGAUAGGCUCGCGUGACAUUAGCUAGACGGCGGGGUAACGGCCCACCGUGGCGACGAUGUCUAGGGGUUCUGAGAGGAAGGUCCCCCACACUGGAACUGAGACACGGUCCAGACUCCUACGGGAGGCAGCAGUGAGGAAUAUUGGUCAAUGGCCGGAAGGCUGAACCAGCCAUGCCGCGUGAAGGUCAGUGCCCUAUGGGCGUUAAACUUCUUUUGUGCGGGAGCAAUAAGGGCCACGCGUGGCCUGACGAGAGUACCGUACGAAUAAGCAUCGGCUAACUCCGUGCCAGCAGCCGCGGUAAUACGGGGGAUGCAAGCGUUAUCCGGAUUUAUUGGGUUUAAAGGGUGCGUAGGCUGUGAGGUAAGUCAGCGGUGAAAUGCCCCCGCUCAACGGGGUGAAGUGCCAUUGAUACUGCCUUGCUGGAAUGCGGAUGCCGUGGGAGGAAUGUGUGGUGUAGCGGUGAAAUGCAUAGAUAUCACACAGAACACCGAUUGCGAAGGCAUCUCACGAAUCCGCGAUUGACGCUGAUGCACGAAAGCGUGGGUAUCAAACAGGAUUAGAUACCCUGGUAGUCCACGCUGUAAACGAUGAUGACUAACCGUCGGCGAUACACAGUCG